rnacentral:tRNA from 3 species
GGGAUAGCUCAGCUGGUAGAGC